rnacentral:rRNA from 1 species
UACAGAGGGGGCGAGCGUUAUUCGGAAUUAUUGGGCGUAAAGGGCGCGUAGGCGGCCGUGUAAGUCGCGUGUGAAAGCCCCCGGCUCAACUGGGGAGGGUCACGCGAUACUGAUCGACUCGAAGGCAGGAGAGGGUAGUGGAAUUCCCGGUGUAGUGGUGAAAUUCGUAGAUAUUGGGAAGAACACCGGUGGCGAAGGCGGCUCUCUGGACCGACACUGACGCUGAGGCGCGAAAGCGUGGGGAGCAAACAGG